GUACGGAGGGAGCUAGCGUUGUUCGGAAAUACUGGGCGUAAAGCGCACGUAGGCGGCGACAGCAAGUCAGGGGUGAAAGUCCCGGGGCUCAACCCCGGAACUGCCCUUGAAACUGCAGUGCUAGAAUUCUGGAGAGGCGAGUGGAAUUCCGAGUGUAGAGGUGAAAUUCGUAGAUAUUCGGAAGAACACCAGUGGCGAAGGCGACUCGCUGGACAGACAUUGACGCUGAGGUGCGAAAGCUAGGGGAGCAAACGGGG
rnacentral:rRNA from 1 species